rnacentral:rRNA from 1 species
GACGAACGCUGGCGGCGUGUUUAACACAUGCAAGUCGAACGGAAAGGCCCUGCUUUUGUGGGGUGCUCGAGUGGCGAACGGGUGAGUAACACGUGAGUAACCUGCCCUUGACUUUGGGAUAACUUCAGGAAACUGGGGCUAAUACCGGAUAGGAGCUCCUGCUGCAUGGUGGGGGUUGGAAAGUUUCGGCGGUUGGGGAUGGACUCGCGGCUUAUCAGCUUGUUGGUGGGGUAGUGGCUUACCAAGGCUUUGACGGGUAGCCGGCCUGAGAGGGUGACCGGCCACAAUGGGACUGAGAUAGGGACCAGACUCCUACGGGAGGCAGCAGUGGGGAGUAUUGCACAAUGGGCGGAAGCCUGAUGCAGCAACGCUGCGUGCGGGAUGACGGCCUUCGGGUUGUAAACCGCUUUCGCCUGUGACGAAGCGUGAGUGACGGUAAUGGGUAAAGAAGCACCGGCUAACUACGUG